CAAGGUCUUGGUCUUAAACCUUUUACUAUCUUCACUCACUAAUUAUACAUGCAAGCCUCACCACAACAGUGAAACAACCCACCAUACAAACAGGGUCGGUAUCAGGCAACCGCCUAUAACACCAAGCACUCAAGCCACACCCCCACGGGCCUGCAGCAGUAGUUAAUAUUAGGCCAUAAGCGAAAGCUUGACCUAGUAAGUGAACCCAUAGGGCCGGUUAAUCUCGUGCCAGCGACCGCGGUUACACGACAGACCCAAGAUAACACCAUCGGCGUAAAACACGACUAGAUCUAUGUACAACCAUUAGGAAGAAAACUAAGCCGGGCCAUAAAAAGCCAUAAGCCACACUAAUACAACCCCCUAAUACAAACAACUUCAACUCGUGAAAGCAAGGACACAAACUAAGAUUAGAUACCUUACUAUGCCUAGCCUUAAAACAACAGUUAAAUAACCAACUGUUCGCCUAAUAACUACGAGUGAAAACUUAAAAUUUAAAAGACUUGACGGUAUUUCACAACAACCUAGAGGAGCCUGUCCAAUAACCGAUACCCCACGAUUAACCCUACCUGCCCUAGCCUUAACAGUCUAUAUACCGCCGUCGCCAGCUUACCUUAUGAAAGAAACAAAGUGGGCCCAAUAAUAGCACAUUAAUACGACAGGUCGAGGUGUAACUAAUGAGCAGGCCAAAGAUGGGCUACAUUUUCUUAAACAGAAAACACGAAUCAACUAUGAAAUUAGAAACUGAAGGCGGAUUUAGCAGUAAGCUAACAACAAAAUACUUAGCUAAAACUAUAGCAAUGAAAUGCGUACACACCGCCCGUCAUCCCUGUAAAACACCUAAACAUAUACAUAAUCCCCCUCACACUUAAAACAGGGCAAGUCGUAACACGGUAAGCGUACUGGAAAGUGCGCUUAGAAA
rnacentral:ncRNA from 1 species